CUACGGGAGGCUGCAGUGGGGAAUAUUGGACAAUGGGGGAAACCCUGAUCCAGCAAUGCCGCGUGUGUGAAGAAGGCCUGCGGGUUGUAAAGCACUUUCGGUUGGGAGGACUGCUUCUAGCACUAAUAUUGUUGGAAGUUGACGUUACCUUCAGAAGAAGCACCGGCUAACUCCGUGCCAGCAGCUGCGGUAAUACGGAGGGUGCAAGCGUUAAUCGGAAUUACUGGGCGUAAAGCGCGCGUAGGCGGCUAGAUCAGUCGGGUGUGAAAGCCCCGGGCUUAACCUGGGAACUGCAUCCGAUACUGUCGAGCUUGAGUACAGGAGAGGGGAGUGGAAUUCCACAUGUAGCGGUGAAAUGCGUAGAUAUGUGGAGGAACACCAAUGGCGAAGGCAGCUCUCUGGCCUGAUACUGACGCUGAGGUGCGAAAGCGUGGGGAGCAAACAGGAUUAGAUACCCCCGUAGUC
rnacentral:rRNA from 1 species